rnacentral:rRNA from 1 species
ACGCUCGACACCUACGGGAGGCAGCAGUGGGGAAUAUUGCACAAUGGGGGAAACCCUGAUGCAGCAACGCCGCGUGAAGGAAGACGGUUUUCGGAUUGUAAACUUCUGUUCUUAGUGAAGAUAGUGACGGUAGCUAAGGAGCAAGCCACGGCUAACUACGUGUCAGCAGCCGCGGUAAUCUGAGCGGGCUGGCAAGGC